UGCAUCGGCCGGGAAUCGAACCCGGGCAGCCCGCGUGGCCCGCGUGACCACUGAACCACCGAUGG
rnacentral:tRNA from 1 species